rnacentral:rRNA from 1 species
GACGAACGCUGGCGGCGUGCUUAACACAUGCAAGUCGAACGGAAAGGCCCUGCUUUUGUGGGGUGCUCGAGUGGCGAACGGGUGAGUAACACGUGAGUAACCUGCCCUUGACUUUGGGAUAACUUCAGGAAACUGGGGCUAAUACCGGAUAGGAGCUCCUGCUGCAUGGUGGGGGUUGGAAAGUUUCGGCGGUUGGGGAUGGACUCGCGGCUUAUCAGCUUGUUGGUGGGGUAGUGGCUUACCAAGGCUUUGACGGGUAGCCGGCCUGAGAGGGUGACCGGCCACAUUGGGACUGAGAUACGGCCCAGACUCGUACGGGAGGCAGCAGUGGGGAAGAUUGCACAAUGGGCGGAAGCCUGAUGCAGCAACGCCGCGUGCGGGAUGACGGCCUUCGGGUUGUAAACCGCUUUCGCCUAUGACGAAGCGUGAGUGACGGUAAUGGGUAAAGAAGCACCGGCUAACUACGUG